ACAAAGUAAGAUUAGAUUAUUGUUCGUUUCCUUCUUGCCUUCCCCUUUGUUAGGGUUUGAAUCCCUAAUAAGGUGGUUAUAGGUAAUUGGGAAAGAAAAGAAUUAGGAAGAAGAGAAAUAGAGAAAUCGAAACCCAUGAUCUGCAUAGAGGAACCUUGGGGUGGAAGGCAAAUCUGGUAACUAUGGUUUGGUGAACGAGUUGAAAUAGUUUUUGUGUGGCUUUUAUCUCCCAUGUAUAUUGGACUAGAAUCCAUAAAGCUUUUCAUUUCUAUAUCUCAACUCUUUCCUUUAACAUGGAAAAAUUUUAGUUCUUGUGGUAGAUAUUUAAAGUCUGACUCAAGUCUGAUCCAUUGAGUUACAAUCAUAUUGGAAGGAAAGUGAAUUUAGUUGCAGACUGGGCAGCUGAAUCAUCCAUAAUGGUUGUUCUUCCCCCAAAUUGGUUUUCUAGUCCUGCUCCCCCACUUUCCAUCCUUUUUAAAAGACGUGUCAAUUUCUUCUGUGGAGUGAAGUUAUGAUGUUCUAAAAAAAGGCGCUAAACUGUAAAAAAAAAUCCAAACUUUUAAGUUUUUGCAAUUAUAUCCAGUCCUAUUUUUUGACAAUUGUAGCUAAAUUUCAAAAGUAUGUUGCAAUUGUAGCCCCAUGGUCAAAAUUAAGUAUAAUGAUGCUAACAUGACAUCCAACUCAGCCAAAAAAAUAUAUUAUUUUAUUAAUUGGUAUUGCAUUUCUUACAACCUAAUAAUAAAACAUCAAAACCUUUUCAAUUUUUUUCAAUUUUAGCCAAAUUUAAAGGUUUGUAUUAAUUAUAGCCAAUUGACCCAAAUUAAAUAAUUUUCUUUACAUAAUAUAGAAGUAAUGUGGGUUGGCUUAUAAGUUUUUCUUUGAGUUAAUACUUAUAGCUACGUUACAUAAAGACCAUUAUGAGGUAUAAUGGUAAGAGCUUAAGCUUUCAAUGGAAUGGUUGCAAUUCUAAGGACUAAUAAUACUUCAUGUGAGAAAGAGCAUUGAUGUGUUACGUACAAGAGAAAGGGGAAAGGCUGAUAAGUAGCUUAUUUUAAGUUAAUUAUGGCUUUUUAGGCUAUUAUACCUUUUUUAUCAUUUCUAUGAGAGUUUUUUUAUGCUUUUAAGAAUUCCCAGGCGCAAUUAGCUAUUGUUAGUUAUGGUUUGUUAUAUAACAAACUAUAAUAUAUACAGAAUCAAUUGUAAAGAGGGAAUUCACUGAUUGAUUAAUAGAGAAUUCGCUACUAUUCUCCCUCGAUUCCUCUCUCUAUUCCUCUUCUUCUCCUUCUUUUCCUACUAUCAUCUCCCUUAAUACUACAGGACUAGUUUUCAGUCCUAACAUCCUUCAAUGUAAAGUUUAUCAAAUAAUAACACCUAUGAUGCUAGAACUAAUGAAAAUUUUCAAGAAGCAUCUCUGAGCACCCUUAUCUGAAAAACACUUUAAUGUUUAUCAAAUAACAACACCUAUGAUGCACUAAUGAAAAAUUUUCAAGAAGAAGAAGAGCACAUGGAGUCUCUCUUCUUGGAAAGUCAACUUAAAUAAGAGUAUAGGACAGUAAAUAAGAGUAGAGGGCAGUGAGGUGAAAAAGUAGGGCCCUCAACAAGGUAUGACAGAAAUCAUAAUUCCACAUCUUUCCAUGGCCAUUUUUCAACUUCAGAAAAUAAACUGAGCAUGAUCUCUCGGUGGUUUUGCUGUAAUAAGCUACUCAACUCAUUCACUUACUCUUUUCUUUUAUAUUUCACUUGAUCAGGGAAAAAAAUCUCUCCUAGACCAUUUUUCAACUUCAAAAGUAAUUUGAGCAAUGCCCAAUGAUUGUUCUCUCAAGUAGUUUUUCUUCAAUAAGAUAGUUAUUCACUUUUUUUCUUUUCUUUUCUGUUCUUACUUGAUCAAAGAAAAAACAGUUAUAUAUUCAAAUAAGAAGAAAGAGUCAGUAAGUCAAAUAUGUAAUAACAGAAGCGAAUUUGAUGAACAAGAUAGUAUGAACAGUUGAACACAUUAAGAGAAGUUAUACCUUCUCAGGACAGUCAAAUAUUUCUAAUUCCUUUUCAAUUAAAU
rnacentral:misc_RNA from 1 species